rnacentral:rRNA from 1 species
UUGCCCCAGUAACGGCGAGUGAAGCGGCAACAGCUCAAAUUUGAAAUCUGGUCCCCAGGGCCCGAGUUGUAAUUUGCAGAGGAUGCUUUUGGUGAGGUGCCUUCCGAGUUCCCUGGAACGGGACGCCAUAGAGGGUGAGAGCCCCGUCUGGUUGGAUACCGAGCCUCUGUAAAGCUCCUUCGACGAGUCGAGUAGUUUGGGAAUGCUGCUCUAAAUGGGAGGUAUAUGUCUUCUAAAGCUAAAUAUUGGCCAGAGACCGAUAGCGCACAAGUAGAGUGAUCGAAAGAUGAAAAGCACUUUGAAAAGAGGGUUAAAUAGUACGUGAAAUUGUUGAAAGGGAAGCACUUAUGACCAGACUUGGCCCCGGUGAAUCAUCCAGCGGUUCCCGCUGGUGCACUUUGCCGGGGUUCAGGCCAGCAUCAGUUCGCUCCGGGGGAUAAAGGCUUUGGGAAUGUGGCUCCCUCGGGAGUGUUAUAGCCCAUUGCGUAAUACCUUGUGGCGGGCUGAGGUUCGCGCUUUAUGCAAGGAUGCUGGCAUAAUGGUCAUCAGUGACCCGUCUUGAAACACGGACCAAGGAGUCGUCUUCGUAUGCGAGUGUUCGGGUGUUAAACCCCUACGCGUAAUGAAAGUGAACGCAGGUGAGAGCCCUCCAGGGCGCAUCAUCGACCGAUCCUGAUGUUCUCGGAUGGAUUUGAGUAAGAGCAUACGGGGCCGGACCCGAAAGAAGGUGAACUAUGCCUGUAUAGGGUGAAGCCAGAGGAAACUCUGGUGGAGGCUCGCAGCGGUUCUGACGUGCAAAUCGAUCGUCAAAUAUGGGCAUGGGGGCGAAAGACUAAUCGAACCUUCUAGUAGCUGGUUUC